AAAGUUCAGUGUUUUGAACACCGAUUCGGGUAAGAAUCCCUCACCUUAUUUCUUAUUAUAGAAUUGAAGUCUAAUUAUAAAUAAUACGGUAUUUUACGUAAUUUAGAAAACUUCGAUAGAUAAUUACAGGUUACUAAUGAAGCCGGAACUGGUUAUUUAUUACUGUUUAUCUUGUUUUAACUGAUUGUUUGAUUGUACAGUUUUAAAUGCAUGAUAAUACACUGAAAUUGGUAAGAUGAUUCAGUUGUGUUUGCUUGAUGUAUGUAUUACUCGUCUUGCGUGAUUUACAGUUAAAUUGUGAAACUGAAAAUUAAAUGUAAAUAGAAAAUUACUUGGUUAAGUGAAUUAAUGAAACAAUUGUCUUACUGGAUAUCCUAGGAGAUGGUGUACAGACCGGAUACAUUGGAAACCCUACCGUGAACGUUACCUCAUACCGGAUGGGGUAUUGAGAAAUAGUAUUUUUGGUACUCAUACCGAACAGGGUAUGAGGAUGGUCUGAUUCACCCUCAUACCAUACGGAGUAUUUAGAAAUGAUAUUUUUUGCGCUC
rnacentral:lncRNA from 1 species